GUGCUCUCUUUGGCAGCACAUAUACUAAAAUUGCAACAACACAGAGAAGAUUAGCAUGGCCCCUGAACAAGGAUAACAUGUCAGUUAUAUGGAAUAUGGAAGCGUUCCAUAUUUUC
ensembl:snRNA U6 U6 spliceosomal RNA